rnacentral:rRNA from 1 species
AUGCAUUGGUUUUCAUGGUGGAAAUUGUGUAUCCCAAAGAGUGACGGGGGCAUGGGAUUUAGAGACUUACAUUCUUUCAACUUGGCACUUCUUGCAAAACAGUGUUGGAGAAUGAUUAUCAACCCAGAUUCUAUCUGUGCAAGGAUUUUGAAGGCAAAGUAUUUUCCAAGCACUGAUUUGUUGCAUGCAGGUCCCAGAAAUGGUGCUUCCUUUACUUGGCAGAGCAUCGUCGCAGGACUAGCUACUUUUAAAAGAGGUUUUAUCUGGCGAAUCGGCUCGGGGGAGAAUGUAAAUAUUUGGGAUGAUUCGUGGAUUCCCUCGAGUCCGGAUAGGAAAGUAAUAACCCCGCGAGGUCAUACGGUGAUAUCAAGAGUAGUUGAGUUUAUUGAUCCAGUCACCACACAAUGGCAUGAACAGUGGAUUCGAGACAUAUUCUAUCCCGUAGAUGCCAAUAGGAUUUUGCAAAUACCGAUCAACUUUCAGGCCUUUGAUGACUUCAUUGCUUGGCACUUGACUAAACAUGGGAAAUUUUCAGUGAAAAGCGCAUAUAUGGAACAAUGGUCACAUAAGUACAGGAGCCAUUCUCUCGGUGAUCUGACGUCCAGUAGUACCCUGCAAUUAGCGAUUUGGAAGCAGCUAUGGUGUUUGUAA